GGGUGCGUAAUUGGAAAGACUGCCAAAUAAAUUAGACAUGCAUUUAACAGGGAUCAGGAAUUCAGUUUGGAUGUUUUAAAACCAAUUUGUUUGAAGCCAUAAGAUGGAAUUUUGUCAAAAAGAAAAAAGAAAGGAGGUAACCGUAAACAGAAAGCGGUGAAUGUUUGUUUGUUUGUUUUCAUCCAUUUGGACCACUUCUGAAGCUUGGCAAGCCACUUUGCAGGCUGUUCCACGAUCCUCUGAAGAUUUGGAAGAGGUCUGCACAAGAGACUGAAGAGAAAAUUGGAAUCAGAAAACAAAAUUAUUUUCUCUGAUAUAAAUCAAGGAGAGGUGUAUCUGCUGGAGCAAAGCAACUUUUGUCAAUACAAGCAAUACGGUCAAGAAACAAUCCUUUGGUAUCUGUUAGAAAAUGUCAAAGGCUACGCUCUUUCUUAAAAUUAAUUGCUACACUAUAAAAUGAUGAUUACACAAUACAAAAAUACUGAUGUAGGUGUAAAGAUUUAUGCUUGUACGUAUUUGCUUAUUCUGCUGUCAGACUUCCUCAGCACCUGUUUUGAUGUACAAUUAAAAUAAACUGUUGAAAGAAAUUAAAA